AAAGACGGAAACACAAGCAUAGCAGCAGAUGAACAAUAGUAUGUAUAACAGUUCAGACUAUCACUAGAGAAAAAUCAACAAUCGUAGCUAAGUAUCAGUACAUCGACAACGGCAGCAAACAUCCAACACAGCACGACACCAUUUUCAAUCUUUAAUCUAUCACAUUGGAAACGAGAAGACGGAGAAAUCAAGUGGAAGGGUGUUUACCUCUUCGAGUGCAGCGAAACAGGGACGAUGGCGAGCAAACGACCGUUCCACCACACGAUCGCGAACAGACUUCAGCUUCAGGCGAAGGGGCAACUCGACAGUCCCGAACAAUGGAAUCGAAAUAGGAAGGGAAAGGAGAAACUGACGAAGCUCACUGUCUGUUUAUGAACUUCCUUAAAACUCUCUUCUUAUCUAUUCUUAGUUUCA
rnacentral:misc_RNA from 1 species